rnacentral:lncRNA from 1 species
GACCUCAGGGUCUGGCUGGGUUCUCCAAGUGUAAUCUACCAAAUGCUGCUGUUGAAGUCUUGCAACUGAUUAGUCUGUAUCUGUGCUCGCUCUAUAUGAAGUAAUUUUUUGUAAAUUUCUAUAAUUGUCUUAUUUCUAGAUCUCUUCAACUGCAACAGCAAGCACACCUGUUGAGACAGAUUGUUCUUAUGGGGUAAGAGUUUGUUUCAUUAUUUAGUUUGACUGAUUGCAUAUGGAGUAUUUCCCCUCUAAAAUCAUAAAAUCUUUUGAGUUGGAAGGGACUUUUAAGAUCAUCUAGUCCAACACUUCUACACUGAAUAGCUCGAUCAGGUUGGUCAUAGCCCUGUCGACUCUGAUCUUGACUGCCUGCAGGGAUGGGACCUUCAUCACCUCUCUGGACAAUCUGUUCCAGUGCUUCACUACCUUUGUUGUAAAAAUAAUAAUAAUAAAUAAAUAAAUAAAUAAAACCCUUUUUCCUUAUAUCCAGUCUAAAUCUCCCCUCCUUUAGUUUGAAAACAUUUCCCCUUGUCCUAUCACAGCACACCCUGCUAAAGAGUCUGUCUCCUUCUUUCAUAUAGCCCCUCUUUACAUACUGAAAGGCCACUACCAGGUCUACCCAGAGCCACCUUUUCUCUAGGCUGAACAGCCCCAGUUCUCUCACCCUGUCCUUGUAGGGAGGUGUUCUAUCCCUUGGAUCAUUUUUGUGGCCUUCCUUUGGACAUGGUCCAACAAGUUCAUGUUUCUUCUCCACAUCUGGAUGCAAAUCAAACUUCUGCAUCUCGUUUCUAUCCCACUGUGCAGUAUAGCUGGGCUUGAUAGCACUAUUGUGGCCCAGCACUGUAGUUUUGUUCAUCAUGUUGGCUACUCUUUUUGCAUUCUAGGGCAUGCACUUAGCUACUACUAAACACAGAAUUAAAGGACCACACUGCAUGUGUUUGACCUGACUCUCUUUCUUUGUGAAUUAGUAUAAACUUUGGGUGGUUGGAGUAGCUGCAGGGAUACCCAGCUUCCUGGCAUUGGUCCUUGCAGUCAUCUUGGCAGUGGUCUGUGUUCUCCAGAGGUCAAACUUCAGAUGGAAACAGACGAGUGAAUGUUGUGAAGUGCAAGAGGAACAUGAAUAUGAAAAAUCUCCUCCCAGACCUCCAAAUGAUAUAUACCUGAAUGUGCUGGAGGAGACAACAAAUGUCUAUGUAAAUGAAGAUCAAGGAAAACGCUUCGGAACAGGCAUUCAAACACAAGCAAAGGCCCCACGGGUGAAGAAGCCCAGAACAGAGCCACCUGUGACAGAAUCCAUUUAUGAAAAUCACCCUCCCUCCUGCUGAGAGAAAAGUACUAAGUGAUGGCUGGGACCAGAAAUAACAGACAGCAUUUCCAGACACCAGGGGUCCCACAGCUGCGUUUCAAGAAAA